AGAGUUUGAUCAUGGCUCAGGAUGAACGCUAGCUACAGGCUUAACACAUGCAAGUCGAGGGGCAGCAUGAUCGAAGCUUGCUUUGAUUGAUGGCGACCGGCGCACGGGUGAGUAACGCGUAUCCAACCUUCCCUAUAGUAGAGAAUAGCCCGGCGAAAGUCGGAUUAAUGCUCUAUGUUGUAUUUAGAGGACAUCUGAAGAAUACCAAAGGUUUACCGCUAUAGGAUGGGGAUGCGUCUGAUUAGGUAGUAGGCGGGGUAACGGCCCACCUAGCCGACGAUCAGUAGGGGUUCUGAGAGGAAGGUCCCCCACAUUGGAACUGAGACACGGUCCAAACUCCUACGGGAGGCAGCAGUGAGGAAUAUUGGUCAAUGGACGGAAGUCUGAACCAGCCAAGUAAGCGUGCAGGAUGACGGCCCUAUGGGUUGUAAACUGCUUUUAUAUAGGGAUAAAGUCGGGGACGUGUCCCCGUUUGUAGGUACUAUAUGAAUAAGGACCGGCUAAUUCCGUGCCAGCCGCCGC
rnacentral:rRNA from 1 species